GUCUACAGCCAUACCACCCUGAGAGCAUCUGAUCUCAGAAGCUAAGCAGGGUCGGGCCUGGUUAGUACUUGGAUGGGAGAAAGUGACGAUUUGUGGUAGUUAUUAAUC
ensembl:rRNA 5S_rRNA 5S ribosomal RNA